UACAGAGACUGCAAGCGUUAUUCGGAUUCACUGGGCGUAAAGGGUGCGCAGGCGGCCAAGUGUGUUAGGCGUGAAAGCCUGAGGCUUAACCUCAGAAUUGCACCUAAAACUACAUGGCUAGAGCAUUGGAGAGGGUAGCGGAAUUCACGGUGUAGCAGUGAAAUGCGUAGAUAUCGUGAGGAACACCAGAGGCGAAGGCGGCUACCUGGACAAUGCUGACGCUCAGGCACGAAAGCGUGGGGAGCAAAAGGG
rnacentral:rRNA from 1 species